AUCCGUGCUCCCGGUAUCCCAGUCAAGUUGGGUGAAUUCUCCCCUGAAAUUCUUCCAUCACUCCUGAAGCAAAGGACCAGGAAGCCUGGGACUUGGUGGGAACCUGACAAAUCGGAACCUGACGACCGGAACUCCACCACCGGAACUCCACCACGGGAACUCUUUCAGAAGCGAGGGGUCCAUUGGUUAAAAAGAUCCAGGACUAACAUCCACCUCAGCAUACCUUACCAUAAAUGGUCAGCUUCGAAGCCCUCCAAUCAGACUCUGACAAGCCAACAUUCCUAAAUCCUUUCCCUUGCCCUCUGAUCCCUAAAACUUGCUGCAGACCCCAAACUGGGGAGACAGUUUGGGACCCUGUUCUCCUUGCUGUCUGGCUUUGCAAUAAAGCCUUUUUUUUCUCAAGCGC
rnacentral:lncRNA from 10 species